CAAAACUGAAGAUACUUAAGUUUGAUUAUUCGUGGGUUGAUGCUGUGGAGGAGGAAGAGAGACGUAUAGAGGAGGAACAAAGGCAGAAAAGAGAGAUGAAGAAAAAGUUGGAGAAAGAAAUUGCAGAAGAGAAGAAAAAUAACAAAACAAAUGACAACAGAUUUACAACACCUUUAGACUUUGGAGAUGAGGCGGUUAAAAAUUGG